rnacentral:rRNA from 1 species
GGGGAAUCUUGCGCAAUGGACGAAAGUCUGACGCAGCGACGCCGCGUGGGUGAUGAAGGCCUUCGGGUUGUAAAGCCCUGUGGGGAGAGAAGAAUAAGUGGUGGCUAAUACCUGCCAUGAUGACGGUAUCUCCUUAGCAAGCACCGGCUAACUCUGUGCCAGCAGCCGCGGUAAGACAGAGGGUGCAAACGUUGUUCGGAAUUACUGGGCGUAAAGCGUGUGUAGGCGGCCAGGUAAGUCGGAUGUGAAAGCCCCGGGCUCAACCCGGGAAGUGCACUCGAUACUGCUUGGCUUGAGUACUGGAGAGGUUGGUGGAAUUCUCGGUGUAGAGGUGAAAUUCGUAGAUAUCGAGAGGAACACCGGUGGCGAAGGCGGCCAACUGGACAGAUACUGACGCUGAGACACGAAAGCGUGGGGAGCAAAC